CGCGAAUGGCUCAUUACAACAGCUAUAAUUUACUUGAUCUUGACAACCUACUUGGAUAACUGUGGUAAUUCUAGAGCUAAUACAUGCACCAAAGCUCCGACCGUAAGGGAAGAGCGCAUUUAUUAGAACAAAACCAAGCGGCUUCGGCCGUCCAAUGUUGACUCAGAAUAACUAAGCUGAUCGCACGGUCUUGUACCGACGACAUGUCAUUCAAGUGUCUGAUCUAUCAACUUUCUAUAUAAGUAUAUAGUACUUAUAUGGUUUUGACGGAUAACGGGGUAUUAGGGUACGACUCCGGAGAAAAUGCCUGAGAAACGGCGUUUACAUCCAAGGAAGGCAGCAGGCGCGCAAAUUACCCACUCUCAGAAUGAGGAGGUAGUGACGAGAAAUAACGAGACCGUUCUCUCUGAGGCCGGUCAUCGGAAUGGGUACAAUCUAAACCCUUUAACGAGUAUCUAUGAGAGGGCAAGUCUGGUGCCAGCAGCCGCGGUAAUUCCAGCU
rnacentral:rRNA from 1 species